rnacentral:snRNA from 1 species
GUGCUCACUUCCGCAGCACAUAUACUAAAAUUGGAACAAUACAGAGAAGAAUUGCAUGGCCCCUGUGCAAGGAUGACACGCAAAUUCGUGACGCGUUCCCAUGUUUU